rnacentral:tRNA from 1 species
UUUUAAAAAAAGUGGUGAGUAUCCCCGCCUGUCACGCAGGAGACCGGGGUUCAAUUCCCUGCUUGAGAG